UGGAAAUGAACAGUGUCCUGUAACCCUCAGAGUGAGACUAGAGUCAGAAUGCAAGCUUUUCUCAUUUGAAAUCUCAGGGUAAGUCCAGGUCCUUACCUCCACCUAAAAGUUCUGCCAUCAAGGAACAUCUGCUCAUUAUCUUCUGUCCACACAUCAAAUGACUUCAAUGUGAUCCCUGGAUGUUCUCCAAAGAGCUGAAAGGAAAUAAAUAUUCUUUCUUUAUCACCAAAUACUUCAAAUGCAGAGUGGUUGUGCUACCAAGGCCUGAAACUUCGGAAAAACCUGCAUAACACAAAAUAUAUAUGCCACAGAGAGGAUCCAGAGAGCUCAUCUCCGGUCAGUUAUCUGUAUUUGCAUGUCAACUACAGCAUCAAAAAGCAUAGGCAUGGAUACUAAGGACCCCCUCUGUACACCAACGCCAGUCCAAAGGAUAGUGUGUCACUGUGAACUGGAAAUUCAUCUCUCUUCUUCAUUUUUUUUCUACCUACUUUAUGCUUUAUCUCUAAGUUGAGGCUGUUUAUGGCCUCAUCCUCAAUUACCUUGUCCCUCAUUACUCCCAGUUAAUGGAGAUUAAGCUUUGUAUCAUGACUUCCUAACUAAAACUGAAAUCACAAGACAUCACAUAAAUAAAGUU
rnacentral:lncRNA from 1 species